GACUUAAAAAAUCCGUCGACUUUAGAAAUCGUGAGGGUUCAAGUCCCUCUAUCCCCN
rnacentral:tRNA from 1 species